AAAAACUGUUUUUUAAUUUUUGUAGAUAAAAAUUUUGAAAAUGUGGACUGUUAAAUUUAUUCAAAUAGGUACCAGGUUUUAUCCCACCCAUGGGACAAAACCAGGUAUUUGCACCUUUUUUUUUUAUAUUAAGUUUUUCCUCUAUAGAAGAUAUGGAAUUAUGGUCAGAUGUAGUGUGUUAUUCUUCACUUCAAAAAUUUUUAAGAAAGGAAUCUGGAAAGAAGAAGAAAUAAACAAUCGACAUCAUAUCAUCCUGCCUGCAGACUUUUGUCCUCUACAACAUAAACCAAUGAAGUAAGAAUAAUAAAUAAAGGAUAAGAUGACAGAGAAGAGAGAUUUUGUUGCAUGCAGGUAUUGUGGGAAGUUAAUGAAAAAAACAUGAAUGAAAAAUGAUAGUGGGAAGACAUUCUGUCUUUUCCUGGGAAAAAAGAUGAAAGAAGAGAUCAGUUUUUCCUGGGACUUGGAGAUAGUUAGCACUCAGAAUUGAGAGAGAAAAUUGGAUUGAGUGAGUUAGGUUUUUGACUGGAAUCAGCAGAAUAAACAGAUGUGGGAGUGAAACAAUGAACAAAAAGAAAAGUAUAAUAAAAUUUUAAUGGAAAAAUCAAGGAAAGGCAACAUUCCACUCCAGUGUCAAAAAAGAAGAAAGGAAAAAAAAUAUUUUUUGAAUAGUGAUUAAAAAUGAAGUAAAGAAAUCCAGUGAAGAAAACCCAUGUGCACACUGAACAGGAAAAGAGAGUAGCUAUAUGAAAACCCAAUAAAAAAUAAAGAAAACAGUGUGAGGUUCAGGAGACUCACCCAUAAUAGCCGAUUGAUUGUUGGAGAGUAUCAGUCAUUGGUUUUUAUAACAUUCGAGAUAUGAACAAAUUUUCUAAAUUUGUUUCAAAAAUAUAAUUGAUUUUUGCCACACUUGGCAAUAAUUAUAAAAGAGAAAUAAAAUUAUAAGAACUUCGAUAAAACGGAAAAUGUCUGCGGAUGAGGAACCUCUUUCUUCUGUUCCUCAUCCUGCAUGAAUCACAUUGAUGAUUCACUAUUAUUCAUCAAAGAGAGAUAUAAAAGUCUUUCAGAUUCUGAUGGAGUUGUUCUUGAUUGUAUUUCCGGUCAAGAAAUGCGAUGCUGUUGGCCAAUGUGCCAGAUUCCUGCCGUGUCAUCCCUGCUCAGGGAAUCUGAUGUCGAUGUAUCAAUCAAGAUGUCAAGAAGUAGUUAUAAAGUCUAAGAAACAAGAAAAAAUCUAGUUGAUACAGGAAGAAGCAUAAUUGAUAAAUGUGAAAAUUAGAUGGAACAGGAACAAUUACUCAAUGGAUGUUGGGUGAAGUAAAAUCAAAGAAAGUUGUCUCAAAAAUGAAAGGAACUGAACUGUAUUGCAAAUCUAAUUUUGACUCAAUGAUAAUGAAGAAUUUCUAACUUCACAAAUUCACCUAAAGAAGAUAAAACUUUCUGUCACUUACAUCAAUGAAUUUAUUUCCCAGGCAUAGUUGACCAAUUGACGUAUUCAGAUCACUUUCUGCCUCUCUUCUCUUUUUAUCCAUAAAAGCAUAGUAUUACACUGCCGAUAAAUAACACAAUAAACAGGUUCAGC
rnacentral:lncRNA from 1 species